rnacentral:rRNA from 1 species
UCUCUGCCCCGGGUGCGUCGCAGCCCCGGACCAAGGCGCCCGCCGGAGGACCAACCAAAACUCUUAUUGUAUACCCCCUCGCGGGUUUUUUUAUAAUCUGAGCCUUCUCGGCGCCUCUCGUAGGCGUUUCGAAAAUGAAUCAAAACUUUCAACAACGGAUCUCUUGGUUCUGGCAUCGAUGAAGAACGCAGCGAAAUGCGAUAAGUAAUGKGAAUUGCAGAAUUCAGUGAAUCAUCGAAUCUUUGAACGCACAUUGSGCCCGCCAGUAUUCUGGSGGGCAUGCCUGUCCGAGCGUCAUUUCAACCCUCGAACCCCUCCGGGGGGUCGGCGUUGGGGAUCGGCCCUCCCUUAGCGGGGUGGCCGUCUCCGAAAUACAGUGGCGGUCUCGCCGCAGCCUCUCCUGCGCAGUARUUUGCACACUCGCAUCGGGAGCGCGGCGCGUCCACAGCCGUUAAACACCCAACUUCUGAAAUGUUGACCUCGGAUCAGGUAGGAAUACC